CCUACGGGAGGCUGCAGUGGGGAAUAUUGGACAAUGGGCGCAAGCCUGAUCCAGCAAUGCCGCGUGUGUGAAGAAGGCCUGCGGGUUGUAAAGCACUUUCAGUGGGGAAGAACGGAUACGGGCCAAUACCCCGCAUCACUGACGUUACCCACAGAAGAAGCACCGGCUAACUCCGUGCCAGCAGCCGCGGUAAUACGGAGGGUGCAAGCGUUAAUCGGAAUCACUGGGCGUAAAGCGCACGUAGGCGGCCCGCUAAGUCAGAUGUGAAACCCCUGGGCUCAACCUGGGAAUGGCAUUUGAUACUGGCAAGCUCGAGUCCGAGAGAGGGGGGUGGAAUUCCAGGUGUAGCGGUGAAAUGCGUAGAUAUCUGGAGGAACACCGGUGGCGAAGGCGGCCCCCUGGCUCGUGACUGACGCUGAGGUGCGAAAGCGUGGGUAGCAAACAGGAUUAGAUACCCCGGUAGUC
rnacentral:rRNA from 1 species